rfam:Acyrthosiphon pisum strain LSR1 Contig1026125, whole genome shotgun sequence.
AAAAAGGCCCUUUUCAGGGCCACCAUAUUAUGAUACAUAUAUCGU